rnacentral:rRNA from 1 species
CCUACGGUAGGCAGCAGUGAGGAAUAUUGGUCAAUGGGCGUAAGCCUGAACCAGCCAAGUCGCGUGAGGGAUGAAGGUUCUAUGGAUCGUAAACCUCUUUUAUAAGGGAAUAAAGUGCGGGACGUGUCCAGGUUUGUAUGUACAUUAUGAAUCAGGAUCGGCUAACUCCGUGCCAGCAGCCGCGGUAAUACGGAGGAUCCGAGCUUUAUCCGGAUUUAUUGGGUUUAAAGGGUGCGUAGGCGGCCUUUUAAGUCAGCGGUGAAAGUCUGUGGCUCAACCAUAGAAUUGCCGUUGAAACUGGGAGGCUUGAGUAUGUUUGAGGCAGGCGGAAUGCGUGGUGUAGCGGUGAAAUGCUUAGAUAUCACGCAGAACCCCGAUUGCGAAGGCAGCCUGCCAAGCCAUGACUGACGCUGAUGCACGAAAGCGUGGGGAUCAAACAGGAUUAGAUACCCUUGUAGUC